rnacentral:lncRNA from 1 species
GCUGGGUUUCGAAUGUAAUGUCUUUUUUUCUCCAGCAUUUACUGUAACAGCAAGCAUUAGAGAUAAGUUCCAAUAUUCUUGUAUUGCUUCUGAAGAGUAAUUUACUGCCAUAAACUGAAAUUUGCUGAGCAGAGAUUGUAUUUCUAUGUGAAGUCUUGCCAGCAUAGAAAAAAACCCCACAUAGUAUGCGUCAUAUUGAAUAAGUAUCUUUUCUUCUUACCAGAAUAUCCUGUUUAUAAAUAAUCCAUUCAAAAACUGCUGCAAAGGUGCAGUGAAAUAUAUGACGUACUCCUGAAACCAAGCUUCUGUAUCCCUUCUUUAUUUGAAAUGAACCUUGAGUUUCCCACAGCCUUGUUUAUUGUCACCCCUUGGCAUCACGUUGCUUUGUUCAUUUUUCUCUUGUAGCAUAAGGUUCCUCCAGUAUUUAUGUGGUAUCUUUAUAUGCUGUUUGCAGGUGACUGUGUUCCUUUGCAGCUCAAAGGUAAAGUUUGCAUAGCUCUCCACUGAUUUAUCAACCUUAAUCCUCUUGAGGGGAAGGAACACCCUCAGGUCCUCUGGAAACAAGUGGGAGGCCAAAGCACUCGCUGUCUACAGAGCUGGGCUUAUAAUUAACAAAAGUGACCUAAUCUCAUAGUGGGUUUGAAUGCAUUGUCUGUGAGAAUUUAUCCUAAUAUUCCAGUAGAUCAAGUUCAACACAAGGUUGGUAUUUACAGAAAGACUGAAAAACAUUGUUCGGUUUAGAGUCUGAAACUCCUCCUUACUUGUCCGUUUCCUGUCUUACAAAUUCUUACAAUGGUCAGUGGUAUCAGGAACAAUUAUUGCAGUCCUCUUUUGCAAGAUUCCUGGCUGUUUGCUGUAUAAAAGCUGCUAAUAUGGGGGAAUAUGCUUUAUCCAGAAGACCAGCAGAGACACCCAGCACUUCUGUUAGCAUUAAAUGUAUAGCAAGUGAUUUAGUUAAUCAUGGGAUGGAAGUUAGUUGAUUUGACCUGGUGUUCUCUGACGAUGUGUCCUUAUUGCUGUAUCUUUACAUCUGCUAAUAGCAAGGAGUACAAACAGAUGCAAUAUGCAAGCACUUUUGCAUGAUUGUUACUUUAAAAUACUGCGGUUUUUUCCCAAGAGUUUCAUGAUGUUGAAAGCAGGAAAAGGAGUAAAAUACCAUCAUAUUUUCAUACGCACUCAUUGUAGGCUCAUGUUUCCUUCACGUGCACUGUCAUGUGCUUAGAUUUACUAUGCGUGUAUAAGGUAUCCAUGUAUUUGUAUGAACCUGCUGUAUUAAAGAUUUUGGUAUCCAUCCUCAUUCUUAAAAUUAAAGGAUUGAGCAAAA